UCACUCUGGUUUCCCUUCAAAACGUAUAAAUCUUUCGCCUUUUACUAAAGAUUUCCGUGGAGGGGAACACUCAAAUGAGUCUAACUCAAUUUUUAACAGCCUCACGCUCGUGAGGCU